AGAAAGUUAGUCUAAUUAAGACAGUUGAUUUCGGCUCAACAGACCAUAGCUCCCUACUAUGACUUUCUC
rnacentral:tRNA from 1 species